AGAAGCCAAGAAGCUAGCCAGCAAGGCCAAGCACAGCUUUUUAUAUUUUGAGGACUAAAACCACAUCACUAUGUUUGGCAAUGAGGUAAUCACUGACCUUUUGAGAGACCCUUUCUAGAACUGCAGCCAUGGAAGUGGGAUAGUAGUGGGUACAGAGGUGAGGAGGACAGGAGGUGGAGGAAGAACAGAGUAACUGUCAAGUGGCCUGACACAGAGUGAGGGCUGCAGUCAGGGUAAAGAGAACUGUAAGAGGGCUCUCAACUAGGGACACUUAAGUGCAUUUAACAUUUAAGGGUCAAAGAACAAGGAAAUUGAGAAUGGGGAGAAACAGAAUAAGAUAGAGGAGAAAGAAGUAUGUUCCUAGCCCUUCUGAAAACAUUUGCAUUUUGAUAAAUUUGUCAGUGCUAUUACCCAAAAAAUAACUGAUGACAAUUUGAGAUUCAAUAAGCAACUAAUGUUUUUUAAGCAGGCACUAUAUAUCAGACUCAAUUUUAAGUACCAUGAAAGCAAAGCAGAAAAAAAAAAAAAAACAGAAAAGAAAAAAAAUAGAGAAAGAAAAGGAAAUAGCAAAAUUCCUCCUUUUAUAGAAAUUUCAGUGCAAGGUCUAGUAAUUCUAAAAAAAAAAAAAAUGUUAAGCAGGCAAAUGAAUGGAAAGACAAGAUGCCCUGUGGGGAUGAGUAGAAUGAAGAAAAGUGACCUGGAGUGAGGGGGUGGGGGCCCUGAAGGCGUAGAAUUGCUAAUACACUUAGGAAGUACUAAGUCCUGUUUGAUAAGGAACUUUUUCAACAGAAAGCUGAAGACAUUGAGAGACUGGAUAGAGGGUCAGAAAAAUUUUCAGACAAAAGAACAGUAAAUGCAUUGGUCUUCAAGAAUCCAGAUCCAAUUAAAAAAAA
rnacentral:lncRNA from 1 species